AGUGUUUAAGCACUUGGUUGCUAACCAAGAGGUUGGUGGUAUGAACCCACCAGACACUG
rnacentral:tRNA from 1 species